CAGUAGCCACGGUAAUACGAACCGUGCGAACGUUAUUCGGAAUUACUGGGCUUAAAGCGCGUGUAGGCGGGCCGCCACGUCGGUUGCUGAAAUCCCCCGGCUCAACCGGGGAAGUGGCAUCGAUACGAGCGGCCUUGAGGGGGGUAGGGGGAUCUGGAACUUCCGGUGGAGCGGUGAAAUGCGUUGAGAUCGGAAGGAACGCCCGUGGCGAAAGCGAGGUCCUGGACCCUUUCUGACGCUGAGACGCGAAAGCCAGGGGAGCAAAUGGGAUUAGAUACCCCAGUAGUCCCUGUCUCUUAUA
rnacentral:rRNA from 1 species